CGCAAAAGUACGUGUCGCUGGAGCCACUACGGAACGAAGGCACAUACCAGACACCCCCAAUAGCUGCGCAAUGAACUCGUCCACUAUAGGGUCAAAAACACCGCGGCAAAAUAAUAACAAAAGCUCCGUGUCGGAAAGCGGUUUCUUGACUGUUCUUGGAUGCGAAGAUACACACUACUGUAGCCGUACAUUCACCUCACCGCUCGCGACGCAGUCAUGGUCCGACGAAUUUGCACUUCACGCUGCCUCCGUACAAUAAUCAAGAAACAUAAGACCAUAAAUAAGUACUCUUUUCUUUUAUACACUAACGGUUAGUAACGAAUGACACUACUCGCCGGCAUUUUCUUGCUUGUUGUUCGCCGAAAUAAAUAGCGCUAUCCCUUACAUAAAACACGAGCACUACACGUCUCUAACCGCUGGCAGGGACAGCCGGGUAUCACAUCCUCUUUUGCUUUGCAUCGCCGAACAUGGAACUUGUAACUGGUUGAUCCAUGAUCCAUUAAAAUACAUGGUCUCGUUACGCGCAAGAAAAAAUCUGAGCCAAUCAGAAGAAAGCCGCUUAUUUUCUCCACAUUGGGGAAAUAAGGCGGCAGAUUUAAAUGAAUUUAUGUGCUUCAUAACCUUUUCCUUCUGACAAAAACUGGCAUAUGUGUAUAAAAUGAAAAAAUCUGCCCGCCACGCGGGCAAAUUCUUUUCGCGCGCCACGCGCGUGGCUCCCAAUUUUGAGCGCGCCUAGGACGCGCGAGUGUUGGUUCUCGCGUUUCGCGCUCGAUGUUGCAUUUAUCUCGCGCUUCGCGCUCGAUUAUAUAUUUACCUCGCGAUAUGUGCUCCGUCUUUG